rnacentral:rRNA from 1 species
UACGUAGGGUGCGAGCGUUGUCCGGAAUUAUUGGGCGUAAAGGGCUCGUAGGCGGUUUGUCGCGUCGGGAGUGAAAUCCACUGGCUUAACUGGUGGCUUGCUUUCGAUACGGGCAGACUAGAGUGUGGUAGGGGAGAUCGGAAUUCCUGGUGUAGCGGUGAAAUGCGCAGAUAUCAGGAGGAACACCGGUGGCGAAGGCGGAUCUCUGGGCCAUUACUGACGCUGAGGAGCGAAAGCGUGGGGAGCGAACAGG